rnacentral:rRNA from 1 species
AUUGAACGCUGGCGGAAUGCUUUACACAUGCAAGUCGAACGGCAGCACGGACUUCGGUCUGGUGGCGAGUGGCGAACGGGUGAGUAAUGUAUCGGAACGUGCCAAGUCGUGGGGGAUAACGUAGUGAAAAUUACGCUAAUACCGCAUACGAUCUAUGGAUGAAAGCGGGGAUCGCCAGACCUCGCGCGAUUGGAGCGGCCGAUAUCAGAUUAGGUAGUUGGUGGGGUAAAGGCCCACCAAGCCAACGAUCUGUAGCUGGUCUGAGAGGACGACCAGCCACACUGGAACUGAGACACGGUCCAGACUCCUACGGGAGGCAGCAGUGGGGAAUUUUGGACAAUGGGCGAAAGCCUGAUCCAGCCAUUCCGCGUGCAGGAUGAAGGCCCUCGGGUUGUAAACUGCUUUUGUACAGAACGAAAAGGUUUCUACUAAUACUAGGAGCUCAUGACGGUACUGUAAGAAUAAGCACCGGCUAACUACGUGCCAGCAGCCGCAGUAA